GAGUCUUUAUGCAUGCACACACCCAGCACUGGCUAUUUGGAAUUUGGCUAUUCUCCCUUCUAAAGCCAUCUGCCCAAAUAAAGAGAGAGUGUGUAGUCUUAUUUGUGGCACUGAUAAAGCUGCCACAGCAACCCAAGGCCCAAACUGCAGCUGUUGCCAACUGCCCAGCAGAGCACAGAGCAAUGGCACAGGGCAGCACCGGAGACUGGGGCAGGGAAUGACGAGGGAUGAAGAUGAAAAAAAGUCAUUUCUCAAGGAAGAAGACAGAAUUUAUCUAAGCAGACCUGUCCUCUAAGGACAUAGGAGAAGGAAUUUCUUUAGGUUGAAAGAAAGGACACCAGGGUUCACUUGAAACUUGAGGAAUAAAGGAAGAAAAACAGCAAAGAUACUGAUUGGAAAAAUCUCCCUUGGAUCAGGCACUGUGCUAGGAAUAAAAUACUAUGAUAAAGCCACCAAAAAAAUCUCAUAAUACUUCAUGGAAACCACCCUGCCCUGUGGAGAAAAUGAAAUGGAUAAGGAAACCUCAUGGAAGAAAUAGAAUAAAAAAGAAAUGAAGCAACAAAGUUUCU